rnacentral:misc_RNA from 1 species
GGACAAUUAAAAGUCGAAUCUCCUGCAAAAAUGAACAAGAAACCAACAAUUUAUUGUUUAAAGGUUGCCUUUGCUGUCCUCGUCUGGUGGAUCAAUUGGCACUUCAUGACGAGGCCUGUUGUACUUUUCACGAAGCUGCUUAAUUGGGAUAAAAUCUCCUGCUGUAUCUGCCCCAUAGAAUAAGAAUGAUAUAUAGGGAUGAUCAAACUUGCCCAAAUCUGGUCUCUCAGGGGCUACUAAAUUUUCCUCAGCAACAUAAGCCACUAGUAGAUUGGGAUCCGCAUGUACAUCAACCAAAACCUGAUAAAAUGGCUGAUUAGUACCCCGAGACAACUUUUCAACCUGAGCAGUUUCCAUCCAUGAACUUGACUCACA